CACACCUUUUCAGAGUUGUUUUCAUUUGUGAGAACCACCCCCACUCAAUCCCUCUCUCUUUCUUCUCUUCACGCCUUGUUGUACCAGAUUGAAGCAGCUCCAUUUUCUUUAGCCUAGAUCUUCCCUCAAAUGCUUCUAAUCUCACACGCCAAGCUCAACCACAAGCUAGACCCCUCUUCUGACCUUGUUAAACACCUAAAAGGACUCCCUUGAAGCUGACUCUCCAAAAGAAACACCAACAGACACAAGCUUGAAUUUUAAAGGAUCUAGCUCUUGAAAAAUCUCAAGAACUCUCAAGAACACUCAAGAACACUCAAGAAAAACGAAAUCACUCUCUCCUUUUAAAGCAACCUGGCUCUGAUACCAUAUACACUUUUGUGUAUUAGAGUGUUUCUAACCAAGUUUAAGAACAAUCAUACUGUUUUAUGUAAGAUUAAAGAGAUUAAGAGAAUAAGUAGAGAGAGAAUACUCAAAACUCCAUUAAUUAAUAACUGAUGAGGUUUACAAGUAUAUAUAGAGAGAGCAACAAGGGUUUUCGAAAUGUAUAAGCAUGUGGAGUCAAAGGACAGACUGGAACUCCUUUUGAAUCACUUGGCUGUGCUUUCUCACAUGCUUGCACUAGUGUAAAAGCAUCCUCUCCUUUCCAGCAUCAUACAGGCUGUCAAAGUGAUCCCUUAUCCUUCCUUAACCUCCCUUAUCCUCUUUGGUCGAGUUUCCUCUCUUCUCUUCACUAAGUUACCUUCUCAUCCCAUCAGAUAUCAUACAGGCUGUCAAAGUGAUCCCUUAUCCUUCCUUAUCCUCUUCCAACGUCUCACUUAGGAUAAGAAAGGAUUAACCUCAGUUAGACUCCAAUCUAACCCAUCCGGGUAACUUCUCUUCUUCUCACUUUAGUUACCACAGUAAAACUAAAGUUACUGUGGUAAAUCCCAAAGUUACUGACUAACCCAAUACUCUUCCUCUAUCAAUGUAUCAACGGCCUUGUACGGCCUUGCCUUGUACGGACACACCUUACCCAACCUUCUCCAUUCCUCCUAAGCUCCUUCUUAACCUCUCAAGACUUCUCUUCAACCCUCCCCCU
rnacentral:lncRNA from 1 species